UACGAAGGGUGCUAGCGUUGUUCGGAAUUACUGGGCGUAAAGGGCGCGUAGGCGGUUUAACAAGUUGGGUGUGAAAGCCCAGGGCUCAACCCUGGAACUGCACUCAAGACUGUUUUACUUGAAUUCGGUAGAGGUUGGUGGAAUUCCCAGUGUAGAGGUGAAAUUCGUAGAUAUUGGGAAGAAUAUCCGUGGCGAAGGCGGCCAACUGGACCGACAUUGACGCUGAGGCGCGAAAGCGUGGGGAUCAAACAGG
rnacentral:rRNA from 1 species